GUACGUCGCGUCCCCCUCCCGGCUCGCCUUCUCCGGCGCGCACGGCCGGACGUCCUCCACCACGCCUGCCAACGUACCAAACGCCUGCAUGACCAAGUUCAUCUUCUUGAUCCGGAGGACGACCUUGCCGUUCCUGUCCGUGGCCGCGGACACCGUGUGCAGCUUCCACUUGCCUGCACGGACGGCAACAUGCAUGAGAUGAGAAGACUCGUCGCCCUUGGCCAGCGCCGCCUUGGACCUCGCGUAGUUGAAGUCGAAGUCCAGGUCGUCCUGCCACGGCGCCGUGCCACCCUGGUCCGCCCUCUCGCUCUGCCCAUGGCCGCCGCUGCCGCCGCGCCUCCCUCGCAGCGCCGCCGCGCCCCGCAG
rnacentral:rRNA from 1 species